GCUCAGGAUGAACGCUGGCGGCGUGCUUAACACAUGCAAGUCGGACGAUGAAGCCCUUCGGGGUGGAUUAGUGGCGAACGGGUGAGUAACACGUGAGCAACCUGCCCUUGACUCUGGGAUAAGCCUGGGAAACUGGGUCUAAUACCGGAUAGGACCUCCUGCCGCAUGGUGGGGGGUGGAAAGCCUUGUGCGGUCUUGGAUGGGCUCGCGGCCUAUCAGCUUGUUGGUGGGGUGAUGGCCUACCAAGGCGACGACGGGUAGCCGGCCUGAGAGGGUGACCGGCCACACUGGGACUGAGACACGGCCCAGACUCCUACGGGAGGCAGCAGUGGGGAAUAUUGCACAAUGGGCGGAAGCCUGAUGCAGCGACGCCGCGUGGGGGAUGACGGCCUUCGGGUUGUAAACCCCUUUCGGCAGGGAACAAGCCUUUCGGGGUGAGGGUACCUGCGGAAGAAGCGCCGGCUAACUACGUGCCAGCAGCCGCGGUAAUACGUAGGGCGCGAGCGUUAUCCGGAAUUAUUGGGCGUAAAGAGCUCGUAGGCGGUUUGUCGCGUCUGCUGUGAAAGCCCGGGGCUCAACCCCGGGUCUGCAGUGGGUACGGGCAGGCUGGAGUGCAGUAGGGGAGACUGGAAUUCCUGGUGUAGCGGUGAAAUGCGCAGAUAUCAGGAGGAACACCGAUGGCGAAGGCAGGUCUCUGGGCUGUAACUG
rnacentral:rRNA from 1 species